UGUGGUGGCUCACACCUGUAAUCCCAGCACUUUGGGAGGCCGAGGUGGGCGGAUCACUUGAGCUCAGGAGUUGGAGAACAGCCUGGGCAACAUAGUGAGACCCUGACUGUACAAAAAAAAAUACAGAAAUUAGCCAGGUGUGGUGGCAUGUGCCUAUAGUCCCAGCUACUUGGGAGGCUGAGGUGGGAGGAUUGCUUGAGCCAGGGGGGCAGAGUUUGCAGUAGGCCAUGAUGGAGCCAUUGCACUCCAGCCAGGUAACAGAGCAAGACACUGUCUCAAAAAAGAAAAAAAAUCAUUUCUAGAUUUAGGAUGAUGUCCUGUGCUAUAAUGGGAUUCAGUUUCUCCCUAAUAUUCACAAAGCCCUUUGGAACUCCCAAAUCUUCAUGAAAGGCCCAUGAAGCUGGGAGGAUAUGGGUUUUUAUGCCCAAAUGAGGAAACUGAGUUCCAAUUUAGUUGACCUGGUGAGAUCACAAAAACAGCAAGCAGGCCGGGCGCGGUGGCUCACACCUGUCAUCCCAACACUUUGGGAGGCCAAGGCGGGUGGAUCACCUGAGGUCAGGAGUUCGAGACCAGCCUGACUAACAUGGUGAAACCCCAUCUCUACUAAAAAUACAAAAUUAGCCGGGUGUGGUGGCACAUGCCUAUAAUCCCAGCUACUCGGGAGGCUGAGGCAGGAGAAUUGCUUGAAUCUGGGAGAGGCAGUGGUAGUGAGCUGAGAUCGCACCACUGUGCUCCAGGCUGAGCCGCAGAGCAAGACUCCAUCUCAAAAAACAAAAAAAAAAGACAAAAACAA